rnacentral:rRNA from 1 species
GCAUAUCAAUAAGCGGAGGAAAAGAAACUAACAAGGAUUCCCCUAGUAACUGCGAGUGAAGCGGGAAAAGCUCAAAUUUAAAAUCUGGCGGUCUUUGGCCGUCCGAGUUGUAAUCUAGAGAAGUGUUAUCCGCGCUGGACCGUGUACAAGUCUCCUGGAAUGGAGCGUCAUAGAGGGUGAGAAUCCCGUCUUUGACACGGACUGCCAGGGCUUUGUGAUGCGCUCUCAAAGAGUCGAGUUGUUUGGGAAUGCAGCUCAAAAUGGGUGGUAAAUUCCAUCUAAAGCUAAAUAUUGGCGAGAGACCGAUAGCGAACAAGUACCGUGAGGGAAAGAUGAAAAGAACUUUGGAAAGAGAGUUAAACAGUACGUGAAAUUGCUGAAAGGGAAACGCUUGAAGUCAGUCGCAUUGUGUGGGAAUCAACCUUGCUUUUGCUGGGCGUACUUUCCAUAUGAUGGGUCAGCAUCAAUUUUGACCGUUGGAUAAAGUCUAAAGGAAUGUGGCAUCUUCGGAUGUGUUAUAGCCUUUGGUCGCAUACAACGAUUGGGAUUGAGGAACUCAGCACGCCGAAAGGCCGGGUCUUGUACCACGUUCGUGCUUAGGAUGCUGGCAUAAUGGCUUUAAUCGACCCGUCUUGAAACACGGACCAAGGAGUCUAACAUGCCUGCGAGUAUUUGGGUGGAAAACCCGAGUGCGCAAUGAAAGUGAAAGUUGAGAUCCUUGUCAUGGGGAGCAUCGACGCCCGGACCAGACCUUUUGUGACGGAUCUGCGGUAGAGCAUGUAUGUUGGGACCCGAAAGAUGGUGAACUAUGCCUGAAUAGGGUGAAGCCAGAGGAAACUCUGGUGGAGGCUCGUAGCGAUUCUGACGUGCAAAUCGAUCGUCAAAUUUGGGUAUAGGGGCGAAAGACUAAUCGAACCAUCUAGUAGCUGGUCUGCG